rnacentral:rRNA from 1 species
UGGGGAAUAUUGCACAAUGGGCGCAAGCCUGAUGCAGCCAUGCCGCGUGUAUGAAGAAGGCCUUCGGGUUGUAAAGUACUUUCAGCGGGGAGGAAGGGAGUAAAGUUAAUACCUUUGCUCAUUGACGUUACCCGCAGAAGAAGCACCGGCUAACUCCGUGCCAGCAGCCGCGGUAAUACGGAGGGUGCAAGCGUUAAUCGGAAUUACUGGGCGUAAAGCGCACGCAGGCGGUUGAUUGAGUCAGAUGUGAAAUCCCCGGGCUCAACCUGGGAACUGCAUCUGAUACUGGCAAGCUUGAGUCUCGUAGAGGGGGGUAGAAUUCCAGGUGUAGCGGUGAAAUGCGUAGAGAUCUGGAGGAAUACCGGUGGCGAAGGCGGCCCCCUGGACGAAGACUGACGCUCAGGUGCGAAAGCGUGGGGAGCAAACAGG